CAACUUUCAACAACGGAUCUCUUGGCUCUCGCAUCGAUGAAGAACGCAGCGAAAUGCGAUAAGUAAUGUGAAUUGCAGAAUUCAGUGAAUCAUCGAAUCUUUGAACGCACCUUGCACUCCUUGGUAUUCCGAGGAGUAUGCUUGUUUGAGAGUACUGU
rnacentral:rRNA from 1 species